ensembl:snoRNA
GGCCCGGGAUGAGCGCCGGCAUGUAUUAUCUGAGCGGAGCUGAUGUCUCUCACCGCUUUAGCUCUAGAAUUACUCUGAGGCCCG